UCUGAAUCUGUCUGAUCCAUUUCCUGCCUGCCAGAAACUCUGGUCUGUUUAGGUCUCUAUUGUGAUUUCUUUCUUUCUAGACUGCCUGCAUCAAGGCCGUCCUUUUUUGUACAAGUGUUACUUACUUUACAAACAGACUGUAUGCUUGUAGGCUUUCUUUAGUUUGUUUAUAUUUGGUUUAUAACUGAACUGCACCUCUUGAAAUAAUGUCGUCCCCAGAGUGUCUGCUAAGCUGGAUGUGGCUACUAUUUCAGACAUCACUGAGGUCAAAUCCCGAGACGCCUCUGUUGGGAUCGUGCGCACUGCUGCCCUCAUCAGCGCAGAGCGGCGGUCUCGUUGCUUAUCAGCGGCUUUAACAAGAGGCUGUGUCACUUAAAUGAGGAAAGAAGCAUCUCUGUUUGGAGCAGUCACAACAACGCUCUCCCCUCCCGCCUGACGCCCCUGAACGCAACUCCAACAGCUGGACUGUCAUCUAGUUGCAUUUUCAGUUUAUAGUCUAUAGUUUUUUCGCUUGAGUAGUUUCAAAUUAAACAGCAUGAUCUGAGACAAUAAA